rnacentral:lncRNA from 1 species
GGGAGUUGGAGGGUACUUGACUUUGGCCCAGAAGCACUAAGUCCCUUUUCCUGCAACUGCUACCCAGGAGUGGGAAAUUAGCCCUCAGGUCUUACCAAGUUUCUGGAUCCCGACAGUGGCCCGCGCCCUGGAGCAGGAUUCGAAUUGUGCUUCAGGUGCUGGCUCUGAAAUCUCGUCGCCCUCCGUUCACUGUCGCUGCUGCUGUCGGUGGAAGUCCGGGCCGGGCCCGUUCUCUCUGUUUCGUUUUCCCGGCGGACUCCGCCUUCCUACUUUCCUCUGGGCCCCUCCCGCACCGUCUCGCGCCCGCGAGAAGUCAGGUAGGCGGGCCGCCUCUGUACCCAGGCGCGGGAGCCAAGGUCCGGCCGGCCUCCCUUCUCCUGUGGAACUGCAGUAACUGCCAGCUUCUCCAAGUUUCUGGACAUUUCCAGGCUUCCAUACUGGGAAAGCUCUGCUGGAAGAGGAAGGAGAAACCCAAGUCUCCUGCUCGCGGUGCAUACUAAGCUCCUGGAUCAAUGAUCACAAUCUACUUUUCAAAAACAAACUUUUAGGAUGCAACUGGGCACAUGGAUGCAAAAGAAUUCCAAUGUGCAGUGGGACAUACUGAGUAACUCGCAGAGGGUCCAGCCAGGCUAUGUCUGUGACAAUUGAAGUCCAGGUCUUCAUAUAAUAUGAACUUAACAUUUUCAUCAUCAAUAUGUUUGUUCCAAUUAAUUGCAAAAUCAAAGUAACUUCCCCAAGAAACUAAAAAGCACAGGAGAGAAAAAAAAAAGUAAGACACUGUUCAUGACUGAGGAAAACAGAUACAUACAUAUGGCUAAACCAUCAAGGGAGGUUGUACGUAUUACAAGUCUGUCUCCAGGAGGUGGAAUACGCCCGUCUCACUGCCCAUACCCACCCAUGUCUUACUUCCUCGGAUAUUUCCCAUUAGUGAUACAACUGAGCAAGUUGUGAGAAGGAUCUGAGCAGAACUCUAAAGAUUUCUCAGAGAUAACGAGAUAAGAGUUUCCUUCAGUCUACCAUUCAGGAUCACGGCCAUCCUUGUGGGGAAGUCAUCACGGUCUUGGUCGACCAAUCGUGGUGUCCCUAAUGUCUUCAUUUGCCGCUGCACGUUGGAUUUCGGAAUUUUGCAAGGAAGAAAUCCUGUCCAAGUUAUUACUGUCACAUCUUAUUGCUAAUCAACUGAGCAGAAAGAAUGAACGCAGACAGUGGAGAGGAUUCUUGAUGCUGUCCCACAAAUCACAAAAAUCACCACUGAAUGUUCCCUUGAGGCAGUACAUACGUAUGGAGCGGUGUGACAUACACAUGGAGCGGUGUGACAUACGCAUGGAGCGGUGUGACAGAGCUGCCCUGCCUCACUCCAUGAAGGUUUCUGGACGACAGAAGCUGGCUGGCUGGUGCUUCACGGGCAUCUCCUAGUGAGUUCUCCUUGCUGCUGUGACUCAAUCCAGUCUUUAUCUUUUCCAGGGAGCUGGUACCGUAUGCAGUGUCCAUGUAUGCCGAAUGCUGUGGGAUUCGCUAUAUCAAACACCCUUUAAAGUGGCCUUCACAGAUUGGGGUAUAUAAGCUAGAACAUGGAAUAUUCAAAUAGUGAUGCUGGCAUCCAUGGCAUAAAUGGAGUGGGAGGCAUCAUGUAGACAAAUAUAUGGCAGAAAAUGAAAUACUGGACUCAUCUACAUGUUGGAUCUUUUUAAAGGUUGAAUAACACAGAAAGCAGGAUGGUGCCAGGGAUGCGAAGGAAGGCAAUUACAGCUCUGAUGUAACUUUGGAGCGCUGAGUUGUGAAUAAGUCUGGCGAGCUAGUGUACAGCAUAAGUAUUAGAGUUAUGAAUCCAGUGUUGCAUGAUGAAGUAGUGUUUGCUAAAGGAACAGCAAACAUAUAUGACUCUUCCUCUAUACACAACAAAGCAGCUGUGUGACAUGAUGGCUUGACUUCAGUAAUCAUUUCACAUGUGUAUGUGUAGCAAAGCACAUUGUCCACCUUAAACAUCAUUUAAAACAUAGAUUUAGAG